AACGAACGCUGGCGGCAUGCCUAACACAUGCAAGUCGAACGAGACCUUCGGGUCUAGUGGCGCACGGGUGCGUAACGCGUGGGAACCUGCCCUUAGGUUCGGAAUAACUCCCCGAAAGGGGUGCUAAUACCGGAUAAUGUCUUCGGACCAAAGAUUUAUCGCCUUUGGAUGGGCCCGCGUUGGAUUAGCUAGUUGGUAGGGUAAAAGCCUACCAAGGCGACGAUCCAUAGCUGGUCUGAGAGGAUGAUCAGCCACACUGGGACUGAGACACGGCCCAGACUCCUACGGGAAGCAGCAGUGGGGAAUAUUGGACAAUGGGCGAAAGCCUGAUCCAGCAAUGCCGCGUGAGUGAUGAAGGCCUUAGGGUUGUAAAGCUCUUUUACCCGGGAGGAUAAUGACAGUACCGGGAGAAUAAGCUCCGGCUAACUCCGUG
rnacentral:rRNA from 1 species